rnacentral:rRNA from 1 species
GACAGAGGGUGCAAACGUUGUUCGGAAUUACUGGGCGUAAAGCGUGUGUAGGCGGCCAUGCAAGUCAGAGGUGAAAUCCUGGAGCUCAACUCCAGAACUGCCUUUGAUACUGGGGAGCUCGAGUCCGGGAGAGGUGAGUGGAACUGCGAGUGUAGAGGUGAAAUUCGUAGAUAUUCGCAAGAACACCAGUGGCGAAGGCGGCUCACUGGCCCGGUACUGACGCUGAGGUGCGAAAGCGUGGGGAGCAAACAGG